rnacentral:misc_RNA from 1 species
GAUGAAGAACGCAGCGAAAUGCGAUAAGUAAUGUGAAUUGCAGAAUUCAGUGAAUCAUCGAAUCUUUGAACGCACCUUGCACCCUUUGGCAUUCUGAAGGGUAUGCUCGUUUGAGUGUCAUUGUACUCUCACACUCCCGAUCUUUGCAUUGGGAGCAGUGGACUUGGGUUUGCUGCUUCACCGUCGCUUACCUCAAAUAGGUUAGUGCAACUCUUGGUUGGACAUAGUACGGCGUGAUAAGUGUUCUUCGCCGGUGCCUCGCAAAGAGGGUGGCCGAUCGGGAUGUUGUGCUCCAAACCGUCUUCGGACAAUCUCUGACGACUUGACCUCAAAUCGAGUAAGACUACCCGCUGAACUUAAGCAUAUCAAUAAGCGGAGA